rnacentral:lncRNA from 1 species
CUGAUGGAGGAUGGAAGGUCAUUACCUGCCAGUGGGGAUGAAAGUUCUAAUUUAGAGCCCAGAAGAGCUUUAGGAAUGUCUCAGAAUUAAUUUUUCUAUUUAUCCAGAGUGAAAGGAGACAAUUAAGGUUAAGAAAAAUAAAAUGUAAAUGAACAGAUUUUUCUUUUGUCCUAAGCAAUAUUCUAACCAGUUUCCUAAUAACCGAAGGCUUAUAAAGGCAAAUUUAGCAUUAAAAUAUUUUAUAUUUCUUUCACAUGUAAAGAAGAAAAGAUGAUCUGAAGCUGCAUAUUUAACUUUCAAUUAUAAGAUAAUGUUUAAAUUAAAAUACAAAUGGCUAAUCAUCAAAACAUGUCAAACUUGAAAAUUAGAUAUUGAAAUUAACAUGAUGUAUUAUCAUUACUGGUUUAUAUGCCUUUCUUCUCCUAUUAACCUGGGAAUUCCAUCAAAGGAAGAUUAAUCUUGUAUUCCUGUCACCAAAAACACUGUCUGACACAUAAAUACUUAAGAAAUGCUUGCUAAAUUGCUUUUUAAAAUUGUCUCCUAAUUUG